GGGCGAUUAGCUCAGUUGGCUAGAGCAUCUCGUUUACACCGAGAGGGUCGCAGGUUCGAGUCCUGCAUCGCCCACCA
rnacentral:tRNA from 1 species